CCGGAGAAGACGUUAGAAUUGAUGCCGUAACUCCCUCCGGACGGGCCUACCGCCUGUCGCUGGCCAGGGGCGAUCGAAUCCGGUUCGGCAUCCGUUGCGACAUCUCCGAUCAUCGUGUGAUCAACGGCACUAUCGGAACAAUUAGCGACAUCGUCGCGGAGGAAGGCGGCCAUGCGCUGAUCGCGGCAGACGUCGAUGGAC
rnacentral:misc_RNA from 1 species